AUUGAACGCUGGCGGCAGGCCUAACACAUGCAAGUCGAACGGCAGCACAGAAGAGCUUGCUCUUUGGGUGGCGAGUGGCGGACGGGUGAGUAACACGUAGGAAUCUACCCAGUAGUGGGGGAUAACCUGGGGAAACCCAGGCUAAUACCGCAUACGCCCUGAGGGGGAAAGCGGGGGAUCUUCGGACCUCGCGCUAUUGGAUGAGCCUGCGUCGGAUUAGCUAGUUGGUGGGGUAAGGGCUCACCAAGGCGACGAUCCGUAGCUGGUCUGAGAGGAUGACCAGUCACACCGGAACUGAGACACGGUCCGGACUCCUACGGGAGGCAGCAGUGGGGAAUAUUGGACAAUGGGCGCAAGCCUGAUCCAGCCAUGCCGCGUGGGUGAAGAAGGCCUUCGGGUUGUAAAGCCCUUUAGGUGGGGAGGAAGGCAUUCAUGCUAAUACCAUGGAUGAUUGACGUUACCCACAGAAUAAGCACCGGCUAACUCCGUG
rnacentral:rRNA from 1 species